rnacentral:rRNA from 1 species
UACGUAGGGUCCAAGCGUUUAAUCGGAAUUACUGGGCGUAAAGCGUGCGUAGGCGGUUUCGCAAGUCCGAUGUGAAAUCCCCGGGCUUAACCUGGGAACUGCGUUGGAAACUACGAAGCUAGAGUGCGGCAGAGGGGGGGUGGAAUUCCAGGUGUAGCAGUGAAAUGCGUAGAGAUCUGGAGGAACACCGAUGGCGAAGGCAGCCCCCCUGGGCUAGCACUGACGCUCAUACACGAAAAGCCGUGGGGGAGCAAACAGG